UACGAGGGAGGCGAGCGUUGUUCGGAAUUAUUGGGCGUAAAGGGUGCGUAGGCGGUUUGGUAAGUCUGAUGUGAAAUCUAUGGGCUCAACUCAUAGUCUGCAUCGGAAACUGCCGGGCUUGAGUGUGGGAGAGGUGAGUGGAAUUCCUGGUGUAGCGGUGAAAUGCGUAGAUAUCAGGAGGAACACCUGUGGCGAAAGCGGCUCACUGGACCAUAACUGACGCUGAUGCACGAAAGCUAGGGGAGCAAACAGG
rnacentral:rRNA from 1 species